rnacentral:rRNA from 1 species
UACGGAGGGGGCCAGCGUUGUUCGGAAUCAUUGGGCGUAAAGGGCGCGUAGGCGGCUUUGUAAGUCCGUUGUGAAAUCCCUCGGCUCAACCGAGGAACUGCGACGGAUACUGCUUGGCUUGAAUACCGGAGAGGAUGGCGGAAUUCCCCAAGUAGAGGUGAAAUUCGUAGAUAUGGGGAGGAACACCGGUGGCGAAGGCGGCCAUCUGGACGGCUAUUGACGCUGAGACGCGAAAGCGUGGGGAGCAAACGGG